UAUUCUAAGCUCUGACCCUCUCCAUCACUUAAAUGUAAGGAUGAACAAUACUGAGACUUCUUGUGUGCUUGGAAGGGCACUAGGAGUUUUACAUACAUUCUUUCACUUAGUUCUUACAGAAAAAAAAUGAACCAGUUACUUCACGUUAUGCCCAUGUAUCAGGUAGUAUUUGGUGCAGCUGCUUACACAGAAUGCCCUGAACAAUAUUAGCUUAGAUAAGAUAGAAGGGUUUUUUUUUUCUCCCCAACUGGAGGCUUUUUAUUUAAAAAGAAAAAAAAAAUAGAGUUUUUCUCCUAUGUGAAAAACAAAACGUCUGGAGGUGGGCCCGGCCACUGUUGUUUCGGUGGCUCCACAGUGUCAUCAAGACGUCUACCUUUCUCCGUCACCAUUCUUGGCAUGUAACUUCAAGGUUACUUCUUGGUCCAAGAUAGCAGCAGUAGCUGCAGUCAUCACAUCUCUGUUUCAGGUAGCAGAAAGCAGGAAGGGAUAGUAAAAGGGUCAUCUUCUUUUGCUCGUAGAAAUCUCAAUACUUCUGCUUACAUUUCAUUGGUCAGAACUCACAUGUUAUGUAUUCAUAUCUAGCUGCAAAGAGAGGCUGGGAAAUGCAGUCUUAUUGUUUCCCAGUCACAAUGUAACACAGGUAAAUAUUUGAGUUCUGUCAUAAGACAAAAAAUGAGAGUAUAGAGAGUAUAUAUUAGAGUAGAUACCACCAGUUUCUUCACAUUACCUUUGACCAAUGAGGAAGCAGGGUACACAGAGUUUAAAAAACUAGCCCUUUACUUUUAUUUAUUUUUUAUUUCAACAGCUUUUGGGGAACAGGUGGUUUUGGGUAACAUGGCUAAGUUCUUUAGUGGUGAUUUCUGAGAUUUUGGUGCACUCAUCACCCAAGCAGUGUACACUGUACCCAAUAUGUAGUCUUUUAAUCACUCACUCCCCUCCCCGCACCCUGAGUCCCUGAAGUCCAUUGUAUCAUUCUUUUGCCUUUGCAUCCUCAUAGCUUAGCUCCCACUUAGAAAUGAGAACAUAUGAUAUUUGGUUUUCCAUUCCUCAGUUACUUCACUUAGAAUAAUAGUCUCCAGCUCCAUCCAGGUUGCAGCAAAUGCCAUUAUUUGGUUCUGUUUUAUGGCUGAGUAGUAUUCCAUGGUGUAUGUAUACCACAUUUUCUUUAUCCACUCACUGACAACCAGCCUUUUAGAGAUAUGCUUGGUGGCUGAGGCAGGUGUGGCCCCGGGCAGCCUGCAUCCAGAGCCUGUGCUCUUACAUGUUGUGCCAUUUGUCCUCCCUGGCGUUCCCUUGCUGCUGCUUUUCCCUUCUUAUCAGAAGCUUCAUGCAGUCUCCUUGGCUCUAAAUUUAGUUCUCCCUCUCUAUCAGGAAAGCCUUAUUGAGGCUUCAUGUUCAACCACCUCCAAAAGGCAGGAAAAUUGAGCAGGACUACGAGCCCACAGUGUGACUGACCUUCAGCCAGGGUCCUCCUGUCACCUGCGGAAGGUACAGUACACCUGUGGAGUCUCCUCUGGCCCCCAGGCUCAGUCCUCAUUCCAGAUAUCCUUGGUCCCUCCCCAGUUCCUCAUCCCUUAGUUCCCUCCAUGGUGUUCCCAAAAACUGCACAGUGCUCUCAAUUCUGGUCCUGGCCACAUCCUGGAAUAAAUUGUUGCCUCUCUUCUUGAGGUGUUCUUAUUUGAGAAGAUGAAGGGAUAAUUUUUCUGACUAAAAUUUUAGGUGGCAGGGUUUCCCCCGCUUUUUGUAAGUUGAGAAUGCUUCUCAAAUUAAGCCCUUAAAAUCACAUUACAAAGGACUCCUAGUCAGGUUGGUUUGUCAUUAACGCUACUGCCAGGAGCUGUCUCUUCCUGUCAAUUCAGUGUGGUCUAAGAGCUAGACACGCAGAAUGUGUUAGGGAACUGGCAGCAUCUGCAUUACCUGGGAGUUACUAGGAAUGUAGGAUCUCAGCACCCCACACCGGGCUCCCUCCCUCCCACCUCCUCCUGGACCUACUGAACCAGAAUCUGCAGUUUAACAGGGUCCCCAGGUGAUUUUUAUAUACAUCACAGGCUUGCAAAAUACCCAGAAAAUCUGGGCGGUUGGAUUUCUAAUGAGUCAUUAUGAACUAAAAAAAUUCACCUAAGAGUAUGCAUAUUAAAUUCAUUGUUUGUUUUAGAAGAAACUGAAUUGAGAAAAAGAGAGCAAAUAAAAAUUAGGUACUGAAAUUUAAAAAUUGCUGUUUAUGGUACAGCCUUGGUCCUCAUGAUCUUUCCAGUGUAUUAUGCAAAUGUCAGCAGUUCAUUGACUGAUUGAUAUAUUAGGAUGCAGAACCAGAAGAGAGUAGAUAGAAAUUCUCAUGCUUACAUUUCACCUUAAGAUUCCCUUGUAAAAUUGCUCAAAUCAGUGCACUUAAGUCUCCAAAUGGCUUUUGCAAACCAGAUAAGCUUGGCAUUUGGGGUUCACGUAAUUGGCCAGUUUUGCUAGGAGACUUCCAAAAGCACCGUUGUCUAAACAACUAUUUUAGUUUAAGGAUACAAUCUAGAUUUAAAAGCCAACAUGUGACUCACUUUAAGAUUGUUAAAAGCUCAGAGGACAGAGCUGUUGUACUUGCGAACUUGUUAUUUUUGUAUCCUAUCAUGGAUUUCAGACACCUGAGAGAACAAGAGAGCUAUUUAUUUCUAUGAGCCCAGGCUUAAAUUGUGGAGAGCCUCAGAGAAUUUCAUUUGACACUUUAAAAAUACUUCCCCCACCCCAGAUCCUUCAUGAACUGAGAGGCUCAUACGGAGGUUUUAUACUUAGGCAGGCAGCAGGAUGUAGUGGUUAAAAGCAUGGGCUGUAGAAUCUGACCAUCUGGGUUUAAACCCAACUUUUAUCAACUCUGCAAGGUGGGGAAACCGUCUCUAGGGCUGUCGUGAUAAUUGAGUGAAUAAAGAUUCACCCAGGUGGUGGCUGCCCUGUCGUAAGCACUGUGUAAGCAUUUGCUGUUACUACAUCUUCCUACAAUACCUAAACGUCUGGCUCCCUCUUUCAUUUUGUACAUGAGGACAUGGAGAAGGAGAGUUUCAAGGUCUGUCUGCUGCCUGGCCUGGCGGGGACCCUUCCUUGCCAGCACCCCCUGUUCUCCCAGGGCAGCUCUGUGCUGAGUCAGCACCCACCCAGCAGCUGUGUGGGAAUUCUUUCCCUACCACUCCAUUUCACACAAAUGUCCUUGGGUCCCCAGGUAGGGCCAAUGACAAGAACAGAAUCUGAGGUUGAUUCAGGUCCUGUUUGAACAUUGACAUCCCUCCUCCCCCUCUGCUUACCUGGAGCUAUUUUCACCUUUUCACCCUGGGCGGGUGGUGUAUGGUCUGGGAUGUUGCUGGAAACCCAGCUGGUCUGUGACGUCUGAGAGACAAGGACGGCUACCUCAGCUGUCAUUAACAGCAGAACACUUCUAAUUGACUAGAUUCAAAACUACUCCUUCCCCAGGGUUUUGAUAAUUCCUCCCACCAAUUAUAGCACUUUACUCAGAUUAACUAAUUAAUCCUCACCAUAUACCCCAGAGACAAAAUUAAAGAUAAUUCUUUCAUAACUGUAAAGCACCUUUUAUCUAAGGAUUACUAACACUGAUGCAUUUGUCUCCCAUGACAACAUCACAAGUUUCAGAGAUGACAAGGAAAAUCUUCAUUACCAUUUCAAGAACUGGGAACAAAGAAAAAUCCCGUUCCAGGACGCAAAGGAGGAGAUGCGGGUAGCUGAACAGAAACUUUUGAAGAUUACCAUGGGAAUACACCUGUGAACUUCCAGGUUUGAUCUCAGUUACUCCCUUACUUGAAGAAGGCUUCGAUGAUUCCUCAUGGAGAAAUCCCAGAUACUUCUGCACAUGAUUCAGAGGUCCCUUACAACUGGCUUCAGCCUGCCUUCCAAGCCCUGUCUCUCGCCUCUCCCUUCCUUCACACUGUGCUUCAGCGAGAUGCUGUGUUUUUUGCAAAUGGACGGUUUGGGCAACUCUUUGUGGAGCAAGUCUAUCGGUGCCAUUUUCCCAACAACAUGGAUUCACUUCAUGUCUCUGAGUCACAUUUUGGCUGGAGUGUGGUGGCGUGAUCUUGGUUCACUGCAACCU